UACGGAGGGUGCAAGCGUUAAUCGGAAUUACUGGGCGUAAAGCGCGCGUAGGCGGUAUGUCAAGUCAGAUGUGAAAGCCCUGGGCUCAACCUAGGAACUGCAUAUGAUACUGGCAAACUAGAAUUUGGUAGAGGGAAGUGGAAUUCCGAGUGUAGCGGUGAAAUGCGUAGAUAUUCGGAGGAACACCAGUGGCGAAGGCGACUUCCUGGACUAAAAUUGACGCUGAGGUGCGAAAGCGUGGGUAGCAAACAGG
rnacentral:rRNA from 1 species